CUUGGCCGAGUGGUUAGGCACCGGUCUGCAAAACCGUUGACGGCGGUUCGAAUCCGCC
rnacentral:tRNA from 2 species